UACAGAGGGGGCGAGCGUUGUUCGGAAUUACUGGGCGUAAAGGGCGCGUAGGCGGCCUGCUAAGUCAUACGUGAAAUCCCUCGGCUCAACCGAGGAACUGCGUCUGAUACUGGUUGGCUUGAAUUCGGGAGAGGGAUGCGGAAUUCCAGGUGUAGCGGUGAAAUGCGCAGAUAUCGGGAGGAACACCAAUGGCGAAGGCAGCUCGCUGGGACGGUACUGACGCUGAGACGCGAAAGCGUGGGGAGCAAACAGG
rnacentral:rRNA from 1 species